CUUCAAUAAAACCCAUGAAAGGACCCCUUAUUCAAUAAAAUGGUGCUGGGGUAACUGGCCAACCAUAUGCAGAAAAAUGAAACUGGACCCUUAUCUUUUACCAUAUACAAAAAUUAACUCAAGAUGAAUUAAAGACUUAAAUGUAAAAUGUCAAACUAU